GAUGAAAUCCAAUGGAACGUGAUCAAAAUUGAAAUAUUAAGACACCAUAAUAUAGUCUUACCAAUAAUUGUGUUUGCUAGCAAAUGAAAAAAACUGAUUUCAAUUACAUCGACAAGUAAUACAACCUGUAGCAAAUCCAAGUUAAAUUGGAUCUGCUAUUACAUAGCGAUAGCCUCCUAAACUGGAA